CCUACGGGAGGCAGCAGUGGGGGAUAUUGCACAAUGGGGGGAACCCUGAUGCAGCGACGCCGCGUGGGUGAAGUAGCGCCUCGGCGCGUAAAGUCCUGUCAGCAGGGGAGAAAAUGACGGUACCUGAAGCAGAAGCCCCGGCUAACUACGUGCCAGCUGCCGCGGUAAUACGUAGGGGGCCAGCGUUAUCCGGAUUUACUGGGUGUAAAGGGGGCGCAGACGGCGAUGCAAGCCAGGAGUGAAAGCCCGGGGCCCAACCCCGGGACUGCUAUUGGAACUGCGUGGCUGUAGUGCAGGAGGGGCAGGCGGAAUUCCUGGUGUAGCGGUGAAAUGCGUAGAUAUCAGGAGGAACACCGGUGGCGAAGGCGGCCUGCUGGACUGCAACUGACGUUGAGGCCCGAAAGCGUGGGGAGCAAACAGGAUUAGAUACCCGAGUAGUC
rnacentral:rRNA from 1 species